GUUUUUAAUUCUAUAAGCCUGUAUGCGUCCAGUGCUGGACAGAUGCCUUUUCAAGAGCGCACCUCCAAA